rnacentral:rRNA from 1 species
GACGAACGCUGGCGGCGUGCGUAAUACAUGCAAGUCGAACGAGAGCGACCGGUGCUUGCACUGGUCAAUCUAGUGGCGAACGGGUGAGUAACACGUGGGUAACCUGCCCAUCAGAGGGGGAUAACAUCCGGAAACGGAUGCUAAAACCGCAUAGGUCUUCGAGCCGCAUGGCUUGAAGAGGAAAAGAGGCGCAAGCUUCUGCUGAUGGAUGGACCCGCGGUGCAUUAGCUAGUUGGUGAGGUAACGGCUCACCAAGGCCGUGAUGCAUAGCCGACCUGAGAGGGUGAUCGGCCACAUUGGGACUGAGACACGGCCCAAACUCCUACGGGAGGCAGCAGUAGGGAAUCUUCCGCAAUGGACGCAAGUCUGACGGAGCAACGCCGCGUGAGUGAAGAAGGUUUUCGGAUUGUAAAACUCUGUUGUUAGAGAAGAACAAGUGCUAGAGUAACUGUUAGCGCCUUGACGGUAUCUAACCAGAAAGCCACGGCUAACUACGUGCCAGCAGCCGCGGUAAUACGUAGGUGGCAAGCGUUGUCCGGAUUUAUUGGGCGUAAAGCGAGCGCAGGCGGUUCCUUAAGUCUGAUGUGAAAGCCCCCGGCUCAACCGGGGAGGGUCAUUGGAAACUGGGGAACUUGAGUGCAGAAGAGGAGAGUGGAAUUCCAUGUGUAGCGGUGAAAUGCGUAGAUAUAUGGAGGAACACCAGUGGCGAAGGCGACUCUCUGGUCUGUAACUGACGCUGAGGCUCGAAAGCGUGGGUAGCAAACAGG